rnacentral:rRNA from 1 species
AGCUUGCUUCUCUGGAUGAGUUGCGAACGGGUGAGUAACGCGUAGGUAACCUGCCUGGUAGCGGGGGAUAACUAUUGGAAACGAUAGCUAAUACCGCAUAAGAGUAGAUGUUGCAUGACAUUUACUUAAAAGGUGCAAUUGCAUCACUACCAGAUGGACCUGCGUUGUAUUAGCUAGUUGGUGAGGUAACGGCUCACCAAGGCGACGAUACAUAGCCGACCUGAGAGGGUGGUCGGCCACACUGGGACUGAGACACGGCCCAGACUCCUACGGGAGGCAGCAGUAGGGAAUCUUCGGCAAUGGACGGAAGUCUGACCGAGCAACGCCGCGUGAGUGAAGAAGGUUUUCGGAUCGUAAAGCUCUGUUGUAAGAGAAGAACGAGUGUGAGAGUGGAAAGUUCACACUGUGACGGUAUCUUACCAGAAAGGGACGGCUAACUACGUGCCAGCAGCCGCGGUAAUACGUAGGUCCCGAGCGUUGUCCGGAUUUAUUGGGCGUAAAGCGAGCGCAGGCGGUUAGAUAAGCCUGAAGUUAAAGGCUGUGGCUUAACCAUAGUACGCUUUGGAAACUGUUUAACUUGAGUGCAAGAGGGGAGAGUGGAAUUCCAUGUGUAGCGGUGAAAUGCGUAGAUAUAUGGAGGAACACCGGUGGCGAAAGCGGCUCUCUGGCUUGUAACUGACGCUGAGGCUCGAAAGCGUGGGGAGCAAACAGGAUUAGAUAUCCUGGUAGUCCACGCCGUA